GACGAACGCUGGCGGCGUGCUUAACACAUGCAAGUCGAACGGAAAGGCCCUGCUUUUGUGGGGUGCUCGAGUGGCGAACGGGUGAGUAACACGUGAGUAACCUGCCCUUGACUUUGGGAUAACUUCAGGAAACUGGGGCUAAUACCGGAUAGGAGCUCCUGCUGCAUGGUGGGGGUUGGAAAGUUUCGGCGGUUGGGGAUGGACUCGCGGCUUAUCAGCUUGUUGGUGGGGUAGUGGCUUACCAAGGCUUUGACGGGUAGCCGGCCUGAGAGGGUGACCGGCCACAUUGGGACUGAGAUGCGGCCCAGACUCCUACGGGAGGCAGCAGUGGGGAAUAUUGCACUAUGGGCGGAAGCCUGAUGCAGCAACGCCGCGUGCGGGAUGACGGCCUUCGGGUUGUAAACCGCUUUCGCCUGUGACGAAGCGUGAAUGACGGUAAUGGGUAAAGAAGCACCGGCUAACUACGUG
rnacentral:rRNA from 1 species